rnacentral:rRNA from 1 species
GUCGAGCGGUAGCACAGAGAGCUUGCUCUCGGGUGACGAGCGGCGGACGGGUGAGUAAUGUCUGGGAAACUGCCUGAUGGAGGGGGAUAACUACUGGAAACGGUAGCUAAUACCGCAUAACGUCGCAAGACCAAAGUGGGGGACCUUCGGGCCUCAUGCCAUCAGAUGUGCCCAGAUGGGAUUAGCUAGUAGGUGGGGUAACGGCUCACCUAGGCGACGAUCCCUAGCUGGUCUGAGAGGAUGACCAGCCACACUGGAACUGAGACACGGUCCAGACUCCUACGGGAGGCAGCAGUGGGGAAUAUUGCACAAUGGGCGCAAGCCUGAUGCAGCCAUGCCGCGUGUGUGAAGAAGGCCUUCGGGUUGUAAAGCACUUUCAGCGGGGAGGAAGGCGAUAAGGUUAAUAACCUUGUCGAUUGACGUUACCCGCAGAAGAAGCACCGGCUAACUCCGUGCCAGCAGCCGCGGUAAUACGGAGGGUGCAAGCGUUAAUCGGAAUUACUGGGCGUAAAGCGCACGCAGGCGGUCUGUCAAGUCGGAUGUGAAAUCCCCGGGCUCAACCUGGGAACUGCAUUCGAAACUGGCAGGCUAGAGUCUUGUAGAGGGGGGUAGAAUUCCAGGUGUAGCGGUGAAAUGCGUAGAGAUCUGGAGGAAUACCGGUGGCGAAGGCGGCCCCCUGGACAAAGACUGACGCUCAGGUGCGAAAGCGUGGGGAGCAAACAGGAUUAGAUACCCUGGUAGUCCACGCCGUAAACGAUGUCGAUUUGGAGGUUGUGCCCUUGAGGCGUGGCUUCCGGAGCUAACGCGUUAAAUCGACCGCCUGGGGAGUACGGCCGCAAGGUUAAAACUCAAAUGAAUUGACGGGGGCCCGCACAAGCGGUGGAGCAUGUGGUUUAAUUCGAUGCAACGCGAAGAACCUUACCUGGUCUUGACAUCCACAGAACUUUCCAGAGAUGGAUUGGUGCCUUCGGGAACUGUGAGACAGGUGCUGCAUGGCUGUCGUCAGCUCGUGUUGUGAAAUGUUGGGUUAAGUCCCGCAACGAGCGCAACCCUUAUCCUUUGUUGCCAGCGGUUAGGCCGGGAACUCAAAGGAGACUGCCAGUGAUAAACUGGAGGAAGGUGGGGAUGACGUCAAGUCAUCAUGGCCCUUACGACCAGGGCUACACACGUGCUACAAUGGCAUAUACAAAGAGAAGCGACCUCGCGAGAGCAAGCGGACCUCAUAAAGUAUGUCGUAGUCCGGAUUGGAGUCUGCAACUCGACUCCAUGAAGUCGGAAUCGCUAGUAAUCGUAGAUCAGAAUGCUACGGUGAAUACGUUCCCGGGCCUUGUACACACCGCCCGUCACACCAUGGGAGUGGGUUGCAA